GGGAAUAUUGGGCAAUGGGCGCAAGCCUGACCCAGCAACGCCGCGUGAAGGAAGAAGGCUUUCGGGUUGUAAACUCCUUUUAUCAGGGACGAAGCGAGUGACGGUACCUGAUGAAUAAGCCACGGCUAACUACGUGCCAGCAGCCGCGGUAAUACGUAGGUGGCAAGCGUUAUCCGGAUUUACUGGGUGUAAAGGGCGUGUAGGCGGGAGUGCAAGUCAGAUGUGAAAACUAUGGGCUCAACCCAUAGCCUGCAUUUGAAACUGUACUUCUUGAGUGCUGGAGAGGCAAUCGGAAUUCCGUGUGUAGCGGUGAAAUGCGUAGAUAUACGGAGGAACACCAGUGGCGAAGGCGGAUUGCUGGACAGUAACUGACGUUGAGGCUCGAAGGCGUGGGGAGCAAACAGG
rnacentral:rRNA from 1 species